CCCAGGUCUAAAUCUCAGUGAUCAAGCCUGUGUAAAAUAGAACUUCCAUCCCCUCACUACUUCAUAGCCAAUCACUGUCAAGUAUCAUGGUCACAUGUACUUCCACAGCCUAUCAGCUAGGUAUAUUAGCUGGAGUAAGGAAGUAGGAAGGUUAGGACAUGUUGGGAGAAGCAGAGCUGCAGGAGCUAACUACUUUGCCAGGAUGAGAUGGGGAGAAAAACCUGUUGUGUGAGGCAUAAACUGUGGAAUUGGCCAGGUUUGAUGGCGAGCUGAAGAUCCAGGCCUAGAGCCCAAGAAAGAUUUGCACUUUGGCGUGCGUGCGUGAAGACUUGUUGAUCUCCUGCCAGGCUGGUAGGAGGCUCCUUGCAGCCAACGAACAAUUCUGUUCUACCCUGAUCUGACUUGCGUCAGUUAGGACCUGCACUGCACCAAGCACUUUAAAAGAACUUGCUUGGGACCUUUAACCAACCCCAGCUUGGGGUGAAUGAACUGAAGGGUGUGGGUUCAUUAAUUGUAGAAUUGAUUAAUGUUUUUUUCUGUUUAUUUAGUUUUUUUCUUUUGCGCAUUUUAUAUGGCCAUUUGAAUGUUUCACUGUUGUAAAUAUGUAUAUAACUUUCUACACUAUAAAUACAAAGGCACUCGCAACUGCAACCUUCCAGUCUGUCUGCUCCUUCAUGAGUCGAAUCUAGUUUCUGAUCCAACUAGCCUAUUGACCCGAUUGGUCACUAUUCACUUACAUUGAUUUAAAAUGUACUAUAUUAUAUUUACAAAUAUGCUACAUUAAUUUAUGGCGAGCUAGCCAGGAGGAGUUUGUACAGAGCUGAAGUAUUGCAGUUUGCUAUUUUGUUGCUACUAUGGACGUCUUUGUGAAAUACGGGGUUAAAAUACCUAAUGCAGUGUUGAUUAAAUA